CUAAGCCAGGGCACCGGCUCCUGUGGGUCCCUGCCCUAGUCCCCCCUUCCUCCCCACACCCCAUACCCCGAGCCAGUGCGCAGGGCUCGAGGACUGUGAGGGCCUGGCGCGCCCGGAAAAAGGCUCCUGGCUCCCUGGUGACAUCCUUCACCCCAGCAGCGAUCAGUUCGUUGCCCUCCGUGCUGAGUCGCCAUGCGCUCCCCUCGGACUUCGGUCCUGUACUGGGUUCUCCACCGGAUUAUUCCCGGCCCCAGCUGCGACCUCUGGACACGCGCAUCCUCGUGACCAGUCGAAAAAUCGUUCUUGCUACUACGGGGGACCUGAGUACCCUCGGCGCGGAGAAGUGACCUUUCCUGGCUUGUCCUCGGCUCGUCCUCUUCCUCCCCAGCGCCACGCAUGGCUGAGACGCCGGGAAACUCUAAUGAUGCCCAGAGGAUGGGGGUGGUGGAGUGCCUGAUGACAGGGUGACGAGCAGCCGCCCGAAACAGGCCAGACUUCGGGACCUCCAAGGGCGGGGGACAGCAGAGCGAUCUGUGUCAGCUCCAGCAGCGACCGAUCUGGUCCCUCUUUUGGAUUAAAAGCCCCCAGUGGCAGGCUUUGUUUGCAAAGGUCGCUGUCUUUCCCAGUUUUCAUUCUCUACUUUUCCCCCAGUGAUGCUCACAAUGCGCUCAUUUUACUGCUGGUUCCUUGCAUCUGUGGAGCCCACACACAGUAAAGGGACCGCAGGUCCAGCGGAUGCUUGGAGUGCGCCUCUCUCUAUUCCAGUUUGACAGUUGGGUGUACCUACGGGCGCAAGCCCGGCGCCAGAGAACCCCAGCCGCCUAAGCGCUGCUGCGCCCCUGGGCUUCAUGGCCGGGUGGGAGCGCUAACUGAGAUAUGCACUAAGGUAACCGGGCGCAAAAAAAAAAAAAAAAAAAAAAAAAAAAAAAGGGGAACCGGGCACCGGGCACCAGCGCUCGAUUUUCCGAGUCCUACUUUCUUUUCGGAGCCCGCUGGGAUAUGUAGUUCCUUCUCUCGUCGUCCAACUCUGGGAGCAAACGUGACUUAAGGAUCUAAAACUACAAGUCCCUGCAUCCCCUGCGACGAAGGCGGUGAGGCAAGGUACUAGGCUUUGUGGUGCUCGGCGUUUGGAGAUCAACAAAGACAGCUUUGGAAAAGGUGCUUUCUCUGUACGGGGUGGUUAUUUGCACACUGCCCGCGUUCUGUGUAAUCCUCACCACAACCCUGUCAUGCACUAUUGUACCAAACUCAAAGAAACUGCUUGCCCAACUCUACAAAGCUGCCCAGUGAUAGAGAUGGCACUGAACCCAGAGCUCUGUCUUUCCAUUACAAAGCAUGCCUCAGUGCUCCGUGUCAAAGCGAGAUAAGGUUGGCUAGCGAAAAGAGAAAAAGAAUGUAACCAGCUGGGAAGUGGUGGGAAUAGAAAUGUUAAUUAGAUAGGACAAGGAAUUAAGAGAAGUUAAAAGCAAGUGCGAUUCUUAGGGGCUGGAUGGGACCUUUUCUUUGUUUGAAUAUGGCAGAAAAUCAGAGACCUAAUUCUUUGCAACCCAGAGACUGCUUGUGUUCAUGCGGAUUCUCAGCAUGGCUGGAAACAUUUAGCUUCAAAAUGCACUCAGCACACCACAAAACCAAAAUGAGCUCAAGACAAGCCCGGAGUCACCCACUGCACUGUCUUCAGAUUCGGUCCCCUUUGACACAGACCGCUUCCUUUCUUUGAGUUCCUUCGUCUCAGAAUCAUGGCGGAGUACAGGCCAUGCAUCUUGUAAGCGAUCCGUUUGAGUUUGCCUACAGUCUCUACAUAAUCACAUUCAGCAGCAGGCUCGUACAAGGUCCCAGCGGUUACACAGGAAGCGGUGGCAGACAGCAGGGCAGACACCAUCGUUUGGCUGCUGUAGCUGAAACUGCAUGGUGCUGUCUCGGUUGGCUGGCUGCUUCUGGGCCUCCAGGUCUCAGAAUAAGUCCAUACUCUCUGUCUAUCCAAGCUGGGUAAACUAAGGUUGUUGAACAAGCACGGCCAUGCCUGGGACCCUAAAUUCAGGUCCCAAGAAAUGAAAAGGAUGCACUCUGUUUCCAUGGCAUGCAGAGAUGCAAAGGUGGUGUUGAUGAAUUGCAAAGUGUGCAACAGCAGCAUGUGCUCUGUGUGUGUGUGCUUGCGUGUGUGUGUGUGUGUGUGUGCGUGUGCGUGUG
ensembl:lncRNA